rnacentral:rRNA from 1 species
AUGACAGAAAAAAAAAUUGUUCGGCCCAAAAUGUCACGGAUGUGUCUUUUUUUUGUAGUGAAUAUAGGUCGCGUAGUUCAAGUGGGGGAUGGGAUUGCUCAUAUUAUAGGUCUUGGUGAAAUAAUGUCAGGUGAAUUGGUCGAAUUUGCAGAAGGUACUAGGGGUAUUGCUCUGAAUUUGGAACCCAAAAAUGUUGGGAUUGUAUUAAUGGGCGAUGGGUUGAUGAUACAAGAGGGAAGUUUUGUAAAAGCAACAGGAAGAAUUGCUCAGAUACCCGUGAGUGAGGCUUACUUGGGUCGUGUUGUAAAUGCUCUGGCUAAACCUAUUGAUGGGAAAGGCGAAAUUAUAGCUUCCGAAUCUCGCUUAAUUGAACCUGCUCCAAGUAUAAUUUCCAGGCGUUCCAUAUACGAACCUCUUCAAACAGGGCUUAUUGCUAUCGAUUCGAUGAUCCCUAUAGGGCGCGGUCAGCGAGAGUUAAUUAUUGGGGACAGACAGACUGGCAAAACAGCAGUAGCCACAGAUACAAUUCUCAAUCAAAACGGGCAAGGUGUAAUAUCUGUUUAUGUAGCUAUCGGUCAAAGAGCAUCCUCCGUAGCUGAAGUAGUAACUACUUUCCAUGAGGAGGGGGCCAUGGAAUGCACUAUUGUACUAGCUGAAAUGGUGGAUUCACCUGCUACAUUACAAUACCUCGCUCCUUAUACGGGAGCAGCCCUGGCUGAGUAUUUUAUGUACCGCAACGGCAUACUUUAA